CAGGUCGCCACAUGGACUGAUGUUGCUCUGGUUCCUGACGCAGCCCCUCUCUGAGGGCAUUGAACCCGUGACCUCGGCGACAGGGGCGCGAAGGGGGCAACACCAAAUACAAACUGCAAGUGUCUUGAUUUGGAGAUGCAGUGUAGUCCAUCACAGGAGAGGCAGGGGAGUCCAAAACAGGAGAGGCUGGAGAGUCCGUUGUGGGAGAAGCAGGGGAUUCUGCAAUAGUCAGUGCUGAAGAAUCAAUGAUAAGGCGAGAGGUUGGAUCCAUCAGGGAAGAUGCUGGUAAAUCCAUGUCAGAUAUCCUGGAUUUUUUCUUUGCUGGUUCAUCCUCGUCGUUAGCUAGCAUCUGGCCUUUGAGAAUUAAAAAAAAAAUAGUAUUAUUUUUAAGCCAAACUCCCACUGGUUGGAUGGUCAGUAAUAAUAUUUAACAAACAGUAUAUUUUAACUUACCUGUACAUAUCUUGCAUUUCACGUCAAAGAGGUGAGCUUUAUGCUCUGAUGUUGUGUCCUUCAGCAUACAGGUGAGAAUAUCUGGUGCAGCUCUUCCCUGGUUUGGCUGAUUUGUUCUGGUCUUGGGAGCAGGAAGACUUUUCUUCUGUUCUUGAGAUGUAACCUGCAUUAGUACCAAUGCACAAUAAGACUGCAACUCAAUAAGACCCACACUCUAUAAACCUGCACAAGAAAAGCCUGUGCGGAGCAGGAAAAACAAUGCAGUGCCUAUGUAAAAUUUGGCAGUCACAAAUAUUUCAUGCAGAUGUAGUAGGUACGCACAGUGCUAUAGGAUCUGCUAUCAGGUCUUUUGUCUGGUCUUCUGUCCGGUCUAGCAGAACACGGCAAAUUGGGCAAAUCAACCUUCACGGCUUCUGGCUUCAGUAGUGUAGUCGACACCUUAGCAGAAGCAUCCUUAGCCUAAAUAACACAAGCCAAGUUCUGGUGCUUUGGUGGCCUGCAUGUCCUUCUGGCUCAUCCUGACCAGUCUAAAGGGACUGAUCUCUCCAGAAACAACCCGAUACAAUAAACCCUAAAAAGAACAAAUACCCUGACUUGACAUUUCGCUAACAAUCACAA